rnacentral:rRNA from 1 species
GAGGUCCAGCCUGCCCAGUGACUCUGUUCAACGGCCGCGGUAUCCUAACCGUGCGAAGGUAGCGUAAUCACUUGUUCUUUAAAUGAGGACUAGUAUGAAUGGCCCCACGAGGGCUGCACUGUCUCCUUUUUCUAAUCAAUGAAACUAAUCUCCCCGUGAAGAAGCGGGGAUAACCAUAUAAGACGAGAAGACCCUAUGGAGCUUAAAACAACUGAAACAUUUGCUUUUACCUUAACUGCCCCAGGGCUCUUUAUUUUACCUAAGCAUUUUUAUUUCUAGUUUUAGGUUGGGGUGACCACGGAGCAAAACUAAACCUCCACGAAGAAAUGAAUUCUUUUUAAGCCACAAACUACUUUUUUAAGCAUCAACAAAUUGACCUUCAUUGACCCAAUAUAUUGAUCAACGAACCCAAGUUACCCUA